rnacentral:rRNA from 1 species
AACUCACUGGAGGCCAGCGGCUGUAAGAAGCCCGUUGGUCACCUUCUGGGAUUAUAUAUCUACUCAGAACUUUAGUGAUUUUGUCUGAAAAAUAUUAUGAAUAACUUAAUUCAAAAUACAACUUUCAACAACGGAUCUCUUGGCUCUCGCAUCGAUGAAGAACGCAGCGAAAUGCGAUACGUAAUGUGAAUUGCAGAAUUCAGUGAAUCAUCGAAUCUUUGAACGCAUAUUGCGCUCUCUGGUAUUCCGGAGAGCAUGCUUGUUUGAGUAUCAGUAAACACCUCAACUCCCUUUUCUUUUUUGAAAUGGGAGCUGGACUUGAGUGAUCCCAACACUUUUCUCACUGGAAAGUGGCGGGUCACUUGAAAUGCAGGUGCAGCUGGACUUUUCUCUGAGCUAUAAGCAUAUCUAUUUAGUCUGCCUAAAAAACAGAUUAUUACCUUUGCUGCAGCUAACAUAAAGGAGCAUGAGUUCUUGUGCUGACUGAUGCAGGAUUCACAGAGACAGCUUCGCGGCUGACUUUGUAAACUCGA